CAUGGUGGCUCAUGCCUGUAAUCCCAGCACUUUGGGAGGCCGAGAUGGGUAAUCACUUGAGGUCAGGAAUUCGAGACCACCCUGGCUAACACGGUGUAACCCUGUCUGUACUAAAAAUACAAAAAAUUAGCUGGGCGUGGUGGCGGGUGCCUAUAGUCCCUACUGCUCGGGAGGCUGAGGCCGGAGAAUGGCAUGAACCUGGGAGGUGGGACUUGCAGUGAGCUGAGAUUGCACCACUGCACUCCAGCCUGGGCGACAGAGCGAGACUUCGUCUCAAAAAAAAAUUAAUAGAAUAAAAAUAAAGGUAAUACCUACCUGUUAAAAGAAGUCAAAAGGCCAGGUGCAGUGGCUCACGCCUGUAAUCCCAACACUUUGGGAGGCUGAGGUGGGCAGAUCACUGGAGGUCAGGAGUUUGAGACCAGCCUGGCCAACAUGGUGAAACCCCAUGUCUAAAGAAAAACAAAAAAAAUUAGCCAGGCAUUAUGACGGGUGCCUGUAAUCCUAGCUACUUGGGAGGCUGAGGCGGGAGAAUCACUUGAACCCAGGAGGUGGAGGUUGCAGUAAGCCAAGAUUGCACCACUGCAUUCCAGCCUGGGUGACUGAGCAAGACUGUCUCAAAAAAACCCCCAAAAAACAAAAAUUAGCUGGGCGUGGUGAUGCAGGCCUGUAAUCCUAGCUACUGGGAAGGCUGAGGCAGGAGAAUCUCUUGAACCCAGGAGGUGGAGGUUGCAGUGAGCUGAGAUUGAGCCACUGCACUCCAGCCUGGGCAACAGAGUGAGACUCUGUCUCAAAAAACAAAACAAAAUGAAACAAAACAAAACAAGUCAAACAGUACAAGGAGUCUUCUCUUCUUCCUUCCAGUCCCACCCCUCUAUAAUGAAUGAGUGAUAAUGGUAACAGUUUGGUGGUCUCCUUCCUUUUUGAUGCUUAUACAAACAUGUUCAAAGAUAUAUGUGCAUAUAAGAUUCUUUCAAACACUGGAUCGUACUGUAAUAUAUUAAAAUAACAGACUCUUUUCACUUAACAUUUUUUCAUGGACAUCUGUCCAGAUCAAUCCAUUUAUAUAUAACUUAUUUUUUAUAGCUAUAUACUAGUAUCCUUAGAAUGGAUACAUUAUUUAUUCAGCUCACCUCCUUGUUUCAGAAAUUUAGGUUAUUUCUAGGUUUGUUUUUUACUACUUCAAACAAUGCUGCAAUAAACAUUCUUGUACAUCAAAUCUUUGUACCGAUGCUUUAAUUUCUAUGGAUGGGUUCCUAAAACUUUCUGUGUGGUGCAUGGACAAGCAGGG
rnacentral:lncRNA from 1 species